AUGAAUGUAGGCAUUUGGACUUUUGGAGAGCUGCCGAGAAUAUUGCGAACAGAGCAUAAUCCAGAUAUUUAUGUUAUCUUUUACCAAAUAUUGUAUGACACUUGGAUUAGGUUUAAAAUAAUAAUUGUAGAUCCACCAGGUAGAUCCAUCAGGUUCUGGCUAGACUGGUGGUGUGGCGCUUCUUCGCUGGCGACUACUUUUCCUGUUCUCUUUUCCUAUUGCCCGGACCCUGAGACCUCAAUCUCUGAGCUCGCGUCGAAUAAUUGGGACCUUCGGCUGCGUCGUUCUCUCUCUCCUGCAGAGUUAGAAGACUCACAGCGUCUUGUUGCUUUCUUCCCUUCGCUCUCGGAGGAGGAAGACACGGUUGUCUGGCCCCACUCCCCCUCUGGCCGCUUCUCGGUUAAAUCCCUUUAUGGUAAACUCAUAGCUGGGUCCACCACCUCCAAAUUCAAGUGGAUCUGGAGGGCUUGCAUUCCCCCUAAAGUCAAGGUUUUCCUCUGGCAAGCCUCUCGUGGGCGCCUGCCGACGGGUGACCAAAUUCGUAAGCGUAAUGGCCCGGGAUCGGAAAGUUGUGCUUUAUGUGGCAUGAGAGAGGACACUUCGCAUGUCUUCUUCAACUGUGUGUUGGCUAAUCUGUUUUGGUGUUGUAUCAGAUCUUGGCUGUGUGUUUCUUGGGCUCCGACCUCCUUCUCUGAACUGCGCAUCUUGGUGGAUUCUUUGGUUGGGGCCCAGAGGAGAUUGUUUUGGGUGGGAUUCGCAGCCAUGUGCUGGUCCCUUUGGAUGACAAGGAAUAAAUUUACUAUUAAACAUGUUUUCCCUGCUAAGCCUGUUGAUUGCUUAUUUAAGACCUGUGUAUUCCUGCAGCAGUGGAGAUCAUUGACUAAGGAGGAGGACAGGGACGCCCUCGAUGCCAUGUUGGCCAAGAUACACAAUUCUGCUAUCUCCAUCUCCCCAGUCCAUGCAGGAACUUAG
rnacentral:rRNA from 1 species